rnacentral:rRNA from 1 species
AUGUUCCCUGUUCUGCUGCUGCUUCUGGUGCCAUAUGUACUCCAAUCAGCAUCAGCGAGAACAUUCAGCAACAUGACUGAUGUGGAUGCCUUGCUGGCAUUCAAGGCAAGCCUAAGCAACCAGCAAGGUGCCCUAGCUGCAUGGAACACAACUACUGAUUUCUGCUCGUGGCCAGGUGUCAGUUGCAGCCUCGAGCAUAAGCACAGAGUUACGGUGCUUAACCUCACUUCGAAGGGCCUCGCCGGCACAAUCACCCCAUCAAUUGGAAACCUCACAUUUCUGAAAAUACUAGACCUCAGCCAGAACAAUUUCCGUGGUGCAAUACCUUCAUCAAUUGGUCGUUUAUUUCGGCUACAACAUCUCAACUUAUCCAGCAAUUCACUUGAUAGUGAUGUAAACGCUGACCUGAAGAACUGCACAAGUCUUGAGAGCAUCGAUCUUGACGGUAAUUUGCUCACAGGAGAAAUCCCUGCCUGGUUUGGAGGCUUGUCAAAUCUGAAGACCAUGAGAAUGUAUAGGAACAGGUUCACUGGGAUAAUCCCGCCGUCGAUUGCCAACCUCUCAGCACUGGAAACAAUCGAUUUCGCAGCAAACCAACUGGAAGGUGUCAUCCCGGAGGGCCUUGGCAAGAUGACAAGUCUUUCCUCCAUUCGACUGAGUGAAAACCACCUCUCAGGCACUAUCCCUGCAGCUUUCUUUAACCUUUCCUCUCUGAGCACCUUCGCUGUGGCAGCAAAUAAGUUGCAUGGUAAACUGCCCUCGGACUUGGGAGCUCACCUCCCAAAUCUCAAGGACCUACUCCUCGGCACCAAUAGGUUUACAGGAUACCUUCCAGCUUCUCUUGUGAAUGCAACAAAGAUUUAUAGACUAGACAUGUCAUUCAAUGGCUUGACUGGUAGAUUGCCUCCGGAGAUUGGAAUGCUCUGCCCAAAACACCUCAGUGUUUCAGAAAACCAGAUCGUGGCAAGUACCCCGCAGGACUGGGAGUUCAUGACGUUGUUGACAAACUGCACACGCCUUCGUGUAUUAAAGCUCUCUGGAAACAAGCUAGGUGGUGUGUUGCCAAGCUCUGUUGGCAACCUAUCAGCACAACUUCAAGUGCUUUAUGUUGGAUAUAAUAUGAUUUCUGGAACAAUACCAUCUGGCAUAAGCAAUCUUGUUGGGCUAAAUUAUUUAACACUCUCUUAUAACCAAUUUACUGGUGUCUUGCCUGAAAGCAUGGGAAGACUAAAUUUGCUACAAGGUUUGUAUAUGCAUAAUAAUCUGUUGACCGGGCUCAUUCCAUCCUCCCUUGGGAACAUGACACGGCUACUAACUCUUUCUGCAUGGAGGAACAAGUUUGAGGGGCCUCUUCCAGCAAGCUUAGGGAGCCUCCAGGAGAUAACUGGAGUUGAUUUUUCAUACAAUAAGUUGACAGGUCAAUUGCCUAAAGAGAUCUUCAGCCUAUCGUCUCUGUCGGACACCCUAGAUUUGCGAAGAAAUUACUUUGUUGGUCCUCUUCCACGUGAAAUUGGCAGUCUGACAGCGCUUGCAAACUUGUACCUCUCUCAGAACAACUUAUCUGGGACCCUGCCCAAUGAACUCAGCAAUUGUCAAAGCUUGGUAAAACUCAUGUUGGACCAUAACUCCUUUAGUGGUACUAUUCCCUCAUCUAUCAGCAAAAUGCGAGGGUUGGCAUUUCUAAAUCUUACCAGGAACACACUCUCUGGUGAGAUUCCUCAAGGGUUGGGACUCAUGGCCGGUAUUCAAGAAUUGUAUCUUGCACACAACAACUUGUCUGGUCAUAUUGCUGAAAGCUUGGAAAACAUGGCAUCAAUGUACCAAUUAGACCUGUCCUUCAAUAAUCUGGAUGGCAAAGUUCCAUCGGAGGGCGUGUUUAGUAAUAUGACUGGAUUUUUGUUUGAAGGGAACUCAGGACUUUGUGGUGGUAUUUCAGAAUUACAUUUGCCCCCAUGUCCGCCAGAAUCAAUGGAACACACAAUGAGAAAACGCAAUUUGAUUAUCACAAUAGCUACCCCAAUUGCUGGCAUAAUUAUAUGCUUGUGUGUGGUGCUUGUUUUCUUCGCGAUAAGAAAGAAAUCAAAAGCUCGAUCUACAACCAUGGGAGGAUUUCAAUUUAUGGAUGACAAUUAUCCCAGAGUUACUUAUGCUGAAUUGGUCCAAGGAACAAGUGGCUUUGCCACAGACAAUUUGAUAGGUAGAGGAAGAUAUGGAUCAGUGUAUAAGUGUGAUUUUCUGCUAAACACCAUGAUGACCACUGUAGCUGUGAAGGUGUUCGAUCUUCAACAGUCUGGGUCUUCCAAAAGCUUUCUAGCUGAAUGUGAGGCACUUGGUAGCAUCCGCCAUCGUAAUUUGAUUAGCGUCAUAACUUGCUGCUCAAGCUCUGACUCAAACCAAAACGACUUCAAGGCCCUUGUGUUGGAGUUCAUGCCUAACGGGAGCCUAGAUAGGUGGUUACACAUGGAUGUACAUGCAUCACAGCAACUGCAAGGUUUGACAUUGAUGCAGAGAUUAAAUAUUGCAGUUGAUAUCGCUGAUGCAUUAGAUUAUUUGCACAACAACUGUGAACCACCAAUAAUUCACUGCGACUUGAAGCCAAGCAACAUUCUUCUUAACGAGGAUUUAGUUGCUCACAUUGGGGACUUCGGCCUUGCAAAGAUUCUUUCCGAACCAGCAGCAGAGCAGCUGAUUAAUUCAAAGAGCUCCAUUGGAAUAAGAGGAACAAUUGGAUAUGUAGCUCCAGAGUAUGGCGAAGGCGGUCAAGUUUCUUCAUGUGGAGAUGUAUAUAGCUUCGGAACUGUCAUCCUCGAGUUGUUUACAGGCAUGGCACCAACUCAUGAUAUGCUCAGAGACGGGUUAACCUUGCAUAAGCAUGCCAAGAAUGCAUUUACAGGGAUGCUAAUGCAGAUUGUUGAUCCAGUGCUACUUUCCAUUGAAGAAGCCAAUCUGACUAGUCUGCAGGAUGGAAGCAACACAAUGGAACAUGGCAGGAAUGCCAUAUUGUCUGUCAUGAAGGUUGCGCUAUCAUGCAGCAAUCAUGCACCAACAGAGAGAAUGUGCAUGAGAGAUGCUGCUGCUGCGAUUCGCAGGAUAACGGAUAGCUAUGUUAAAAAUAAGACAAACUGA